rnacentral:rRNA from 1 species
UACGGAGGGUGCAAGCGUUAUCCGGAUUCACUGGGCUUAAAGGGUGCGUAGGUGGGUCUGUAAGUCCGUGGUGAAAUCUCCGAGCUUAACUUGGAAACUGCCAUGGAUACUAUAGAUCUUGAAUACUGUGGAGGUUAGCGGAAUAUGUCAUGUAGCGGUGAAAUGCUUAGAUAUGACAUAGAACACCAAUUGCGAAGGCAGCUGGCUACACAAAUAUUGACACUGAUGCACGAAAGCGUGGGGAUCAAACAGG